rnacentral:lncRNA from 1 species
UAAAAAAAUUGUGAGCUUAGAUCUAAGAUAACCUAUCAACUAUUAUAAUUUGGCUGAAUGUUUUAUUAUUAGGCCAGAGAAAUUUGCAGGAAUAUUGGAAGCUCGAUAUUUCUUACAGGAAAUACCCUUAUGUCAUCAUAAUAACUCAAGAAAAUUUAGAUAUUGUUCGUAAUUUCUUUUUCUUUUUCUUUCUUUUAAGGAAUCGUCUGUUUUAUCAUUUAUAAAUACAAGCACAUAGGAGCUAAUUGAGUUAUUGAAUGCAUUCUGUUAUUAUGAUUAGAAAUAAAUAAUAACAGAUAAUUUGGUCCUGAAUAAAUUUGUCAUUUAAAUGGACAAUUAUAACCCAUUCCAAAGGUAGAAAAAUGAAACAAAAUCUAUACAAAUCUAAAUGAUGACUAUUGUACAAAAUUUUCUUGCUAAUCUAUGUCAGUCUCCUUUAGUGUAAGAUUUAUAGCCCAUUGAAGUGAGAAGUAAUAUGCAAGAAAACGUCUUCUGUGCAAGGAAUUGUGAGGCCGCCCAUUGGAUGGUCAUAUCCUAAUUCUUCCUCGUCUUGACUCAACAUGUUUUGAAAUGAAGCUUGGUUCAAGUAUGACGUGGGGAUAACAAAUCGCUUCAUUUGCUCUCCUACUUACACUGCAAGAUAGCCCUUUGGCACAUUCAAUACUUUUGAUGUUUGGCUACUGCUGAAUGAAGCCCGUCUAAUAGCUGCAGGUAAACGGAAACCCAUUUCAAAUGUUUUGAAGAACAAGAUGAAUUUCUCAGAUAUAAGAUAAAUGUAUAAAAGAUCGAUUGCUUGAGUGAUUUGUGAUUGUUGUGAAGGAGGAGGACACUGUAUUUAUAGUUUCCAAGAGUUUUUUGAAAUCCCUUUGCUAGGGAAAUGAUUGUUAAAAGAAUAGGGCCUAUGAGACAAGAGAUCACAUGGGAUUGUCUUAGAUGCCUCUAUCAAGGAUCAAUAAGUUCAAUAAGAGUGCAAACUGUAACCACUCAAAAUCUAAAGAGAUAUACUUAUCUUGUUAUACUCAAUGCUUGUACAAUGCCAACUCAUUUCUUCUUAGACAUGCAUCAGACAUAGCACAUGUUCUCUUUACAUCAAUAACACAACUUUAUGUUGAUGAAUGACCUGACGAAUUAUGAGAAAAAUAUCAGUCAUACGCAAUCACAUUAUUUAUCAACUGUGCAUAUUUGCUGUUCUUGAUUUAGUUUUUGAAGGGCCAGGUUGGAGACAAUAGACAAGCUAUGGUUCACAAGAGAUCACAUGAUACUCUCAAGAGGUCUUUCUCAAAGAUUCAAUGAUUGCUUAAGACUUGAGACAAUAAUUAAAUAUAUGUCCCACGUUAAGAAACUUGGUCGUUACAAUUUACAAAGGCUAAAAAUUUUUGAUAUCAAAACUUGGUCCUACCAAAUACCUUAUGAAUUAUGAUUAUUUUCUGUGCAAAACGCAUAAAAUUUAUACUAAGGUAUUCAAGAUUGAAAGUCCGUUCACUUAUCAGAAUUAAAUGCUACAAAGCUCAAGCUUUUUGGUAAGAACAAACCUCUGAAAGGACUUAUCCCAAUACAGAAACUGAUACUACCUCAUCAAUUAUGAAGAAGAUUUAACAAAUACCAAGUUAGUUGGAGCACUGCCUUUUCAAUGCAGUAAAGUUUGCAAGAAUACAAAGUAUGACACAUUUUAAAUCCUGCUAGUUCUGUGGAAGAGUGAAAACACAAAACACGAUGAAAUUCAAUCAUUUUGCAGGAGUCUAUCCAUAUGAAGACUAGACUUGCAACAACUUCCAAGUAUAUUUCAUGGUUGAUUGAAUUUUAUGCAUCCUCUUGACUUAAGUGGGGUUAAAACGAAGACAAAGGCUAAGACGAAGUACCAUUUUAGAUGAUUCAUUUUUUAACUACAUUUCAAUGGUUCAUGAAACAUUACACUUUUUAACCAUUUGACUAAUUCAGACCUCGCAAUGACAUAUAUCAUAGAUCUUCCAUAUCUUAUAUAUAUUCCCACCUUUUACCUUCAACCCUAAUCCACCCUAGGCAACUGUCACCCUUUGACCGACCCUAUUCCAGCCAUCAGCUUGUCUCCGUUAUAGAUCGUGGCUCUUGUGUCGUAAAUAUCACUAGAGCCACUGUCAGGUUGUCUCAUACAUGCAUUUGAUAUGUCUUUGCUUAGCCGUGAAAGCGUGGCUUUCUAUUUCAUGCAGUCAUGAAGGUUGCCUUGCUCUCCCACUCAUAGGGAAGGUAAUGGGCAGGUAAUAAAGCACUCCUCGUCCCAACAUCUGCAGCGGAAAAACAUUUGUAUUCAAAUCCAACGUAGAUUUUAUAGUUGUCGUUGAAGCGGAAUACAACCGAACAAUGUUUUGAGUUUGGCAGAAUGUUUUAUUAGGCUGAUAAAUUUAAAAUUGGCUGGAUAAUAAUAAAUUUACAAUAAUUUUUUUUCAAAGACUAAAAUAUGUUUCAAAUUUUGCUCGCUCAGGUUAUAUAUUCACAGCACAAUCGCCUUCAACACAAGUAUAGUAAGACAGAUUAAAGAAAUUUGAAUUUUGAUAAUAAGAUCCUAUUCCACCGCGACAGUGUUUUGUAGUCAACCCUCUUAUGUUAACUUUCUCUAUCUAUCCUAAAACUUUCAUGAUUUUUGGAAAUGUUGGUUUUUCAUUGGCUAGUUUGUCUUCAGCAAUCAAAUUACGAAGAUGCAUUUGCUAUAUAUAGCAUCGCAGUUUUAAUAAACACAUAUAUACUUUAUUUUUAUCCCAAGUAAUCAUUAGUUUUGUAACUUAUAAAUAGAAGCAUAUAAGAGCCCUUUGAGUUGUUGAAUGUAGUGUGUCAUUAUGAUUAGAAUUAGAAAUAAAUAAUAACAAACAAUCUCUUCCUGAAUUUGUCAUUCAGAUGGACAAUGCUAACCCAUUCCAAAGGUAUGAAAAGGAAAAAAAAUCUUUACAAAUCUAAAUCAUGACUAUAAUAUACAAAGUGUCCUAGCUAAUCUAUGUCAGUCUUCUUUAGUGUAAGAUUUAUAGCCCAUUGAAGCGAGAAGUAAUUUCCAUGAAAAUAUCUUCUGUGCAAGGAACCGUGAGGCCACCCAUUGGGUGAUCAUAUCCAAAUUCUUCCUCUGCUUGACUCAAUAAGUUUUGAAAGGAAGCUCGGUUCAAGUAUGACAUGGGGAUAACAAACCGCUUCAUUUGCUCUCCAACAUAUACCGCAAGAUAUCCCUUUGGUACAUUCACAACUUUUGAUGAUGCUUGGCUACUUGUAAAUGAAGUUCGUCUAAUAGCAGGUAAACGGAAACCCAUUUCAAAUGUUUUGAAGAAAAAACUGAAUUUCUC